rnacentral:lncRNA from 1 species
CCUUCACAGGGCGGAAGGUGAAAUUCCGUGUGCUUAGCAGAGGACAAUUCAAACGGGUGUCCAGCAGAGAUGGUCAGGACCUCAGCCCGCAGCUAUGAGAAGGGGUCCUCCGGGUGGAGGGAAGAGUCUAGCCCCGCAGGCGAGGCGGGGAAGCAGAGGCGUGCUUCCAAGACGUCCAGAGGCGCGAUCAGGAUAUAUAUGAUCACAUUUUAACUUAGUCUGCAACAUGUACUGAAUAAAAAGAAGAUAGUGCAAAGCAAUUCUCCAACACAGUAAAAGAUGUAUUAAUCUUUUCCCUGGUACCUACUAUUUUCUAGAGGCUGUGAAAAUUGGGGCAGGAAAAGGUUUAUU